rnacentral:rRNA from 1 species
AUUGAACGCUGGCGGCAGGCUUAACACAUGCAAGUCGAGCGAGCGGCGGACGGGUGAGUAAUGUCUGGGACCCUGCCUGAAGGAGGGGGAUAACUACUGGAAACGGUAGCUAAUACCGCAUACCUUCGGAUGUUCCCAGAUGGGAUUAGCUAGUAGGUGGGGGAAAGGCUAACCUAGGCGACGAUCCCUAGCUGGUCUGAGAGGAUGACCAGCCACACUGGAACUGAGAAACGGUCCAGACUCCUACGGGAGGCAGCAGUGGGGAAUAGUGCACAAUGGGCGCAAGCCUGAUGCAGCCAGGCAGCGUGGAUGAAGAAGGCCUUCGGGUUGUAAAGUACUUUCAGCGGGGAGGCGUUACCCGCAGAAGAAGCACCGGCUAACUCCGUGCCAGCAGCCGCGGUAAUAC